AAAAAUCAUAUUAUUCUGAUUUCAUCACCAACCUCACAGUUUUCCAGGCAUAUGUAGAAGAAGUAAUUAUAAUGCCAAAGUAUGAAAUAUAGCCGGUUUCAUAACCGGAAUGAAUUAUGACUAAUUCUCCUGCAGUAAACAAUUUGUUUUUCAAAUCUGUAUUCCCCAGACAGCUGAGCCAGGCCUUGCUUCUCAAGUGUUUUAUUUAAAUAGGCAGUAUGUCAGUGGAGUUUUACCACAGAGUUUCUGAGCACAGAGAGCCUUUCCCUAGGAGUGGGGUGCAGGGAACUGGAGGGCAAUGGUUCUUAUGAGAAGGUGAUGAUGCUUCUAAGAAAAAAGAUUACACAAUGCCCUGGCUAAAGCUACUGUGAAAGAACUUGCCUCACUGCACGGCACCAAGUACACAUAUGGCCCGGGAGCUACAACAAUCUAUCCUGCUGCUGGGGGCUCUGACGACUGGGCUUACGACCAAGGAAUCAGAUAUUCCUUCACCUUUGAACUUCGAGAUACAGGCAGAUAUGGCUUUCUCCUUCCAGAAUCCCAGAUCCGGGCUACCUGCGAGGAGACCUUCCUGGCAAUCAAGUAUGUUGCCAGCUACGUCCUGGAACACCUGUACUAGUUGAGAAAGCUGAUGGCCUUGUUUCAAAAUUCUCAUUUUUCAUUUCUUUUCUUUCUUGAAUUCUUAUUUUGGUUUGCCUGGAUGUUUUGCAGAUCCCAAUCUUUCUUUUAAGCUUCUGGGUCUAUUAAACUAGGUAGAUCUUUUCGUAUUGAUCAUAAUAAAAGUGAAUCAUUACCAUUGGAAAA
rnacentral:sRNA from 1 species